rnacentral:lncRNA from 1 species
UCCCAAACACCCUCCUCAUGUUAAACCACCCAUUCACCCUAAACCACCCGUACACCCACCGCAUGUGAAACCACCAGUAAAACCACCGCAUGUGAAGCCUCCCUACACUCCCAAACCACCAGUGAAACCACCGCAUGUGAAGCCUCCUUACACUCCCAAACCACCCGUAAAGCCACCGCAUGUGAAACCUCCCUACAUUCCCAAACCACCGGUAAAACCGCCGCAUGUGAAGCCUCCUUACAUUCCCAAACCACCGGUGAAACCGCCGCACGUGAAGCCUCCUUACAUUCCCAAACCACCGAUUGUCCACCCACCCUUCAUCCCAAAACCACCAAUCGUGCACCCACCCUUCAUCCCAAAACCACCAAUCGUGCAUCCACCUUUCAUCCCUAAACCACCAAUUGUCUACCCACCAGUUAUGCCCAAGCCCCCCGUGUACCCUCCACCGGUGUACCCAAGUCCACCCCCAACACCUGUCGUGACCCCUAGCCCGC